rnacentral:rRNA from 1 species
CCUACGGGAGGCAGCAGUGGGGAAUAUUGGACAAUGGGGGCAACCCUGAUCCAGCCAUGCCGCGUGUGUGAAGAAGGCCCUCGGGUUGUAAAGCACUUUCAGUGAGGAAGAACGCCUGGUGGUUAAUACCCAUCAGGAAAGACAUCACUCACAGAAGAAGCACCGGCUAACUCCGUGCCAGCAGCCGCGGUAAUACGGAGGGUGCGAGCGUUAAUCGGAAUUACUGGGCGUAAAGCGCGCGUAGGUGGCUUGAUAAGCCGGUUGUGAAAGCCCCGGGCUCAACCUGGGAACGGCAUCCGGAACUGUCAAGCUAGAGUGCAGGAGAGGAAGGUAGAAUUCCCGGUGUAGCGGUGAAAUGCGUAGAGAUCGGGAGGAAUACCAGUGGCGAAGGCGGCCUUCUGGACUGACACUGACACUGAGGUGCGAAAGCGUGGGUAGCAAACAGGAUUAGAUACCCAUGUAGUC